rnacentral:rRNA from 1 species
AUUGAACGCUGGCGGCAUGCUUUACACAUGCAAGUCGAACGGCAGCGCGGGCUUCGGCCUGGCGGCGAGUGGCGAACUGGUGAGUAAUGCAUCGGAACGUGCCCAGUAGUGGGGGAUAGCCCGGCGAAAGCCGGAUUAAUACCGCAUACGACCUGAGGGUGAAAGCGGGGGACCGAAAGGCCUCGCGCUAUUGGAGCGGCCGAUGUCGGAUUAGCUAGUUGGUGGGGUAAAGGCUUACCAAGGCGACGAUCCGUAGCUGGUCUGAGAGGACGACCAGCCACACUGGGACUGAGACACGGCCCAGACUCCUACGGGAGGCAGCAGUGGGGAAUUUUGGACAAUGGGGGCAACCCUGAUCCAGCCAUGCCGCGUGCGGGAAGAAGGCCUUCGGGUUGUAAACCGCUUUUGUUCGGGAAGAAAUCCUCUGGGCUAAUACCCCGGGGGGAUGACGGUACCGGAAGAAUAAGCACCGGCUAACUACGUG